UACGGAGGGGGCGAGCGUUAUUCGGAAUUAUUGGGCGUAAAGGGCGCGUAGGCGGCCCGGUAAGUCAAAGGUGAAAUCCCUCGGCUCAACUGAGGAAUUGCCUUUGAAACUGUCGGGCUUGAGGCCGGGAGGGGGUAGCGGAAUUCCCAGUGUAGCGGUGAAAUGCGUAGAUACUGGGAGGAACACCAGUGGCGAAGGCGGCUACCUGGACCGGUUCUGACGCUGAUGCGCGAAAGCGUGGGUAGCAAACAGG
rnacentral:rRNA from 1 species